UAACCCUAAUACAGCCGCAAACGAGAAACAAGGAGGUCGUCUCUCCUCUUCAUGCGACGGCGACCCAAUACCCUCUGCACUUCUUCUCACCAUUAAAGGCUUCGUCUUGAUCACAAGGCUUCGUGUUUGAUCACAUUGAUUCGCUCUCCCAUUACGUUGCUUUGUUUCGAUCUGAUAAGGGUGAUUUCUGUAUAAAUAUGCGUGAGUAGUCAUCUCCUUGAUCUGAAUUCCGACAAGUUCUCCUCCAUAGUCGAGGCUAGGGAACGUAAAAAGAGACAGCGACAUGCUCCUCCUAUGCUAAGGUUGCAGAGUGAUUGACUGUUGAUGGAAUAUUGGAGAGCUGGGAAAAGACUAAGCGGGUUAUAAUGGAAGCUUGGGAAGAAGAAGAUAAAGAUGCUUAUGGUUGGAUUAAAAAGGACUCGACAACUUGGAUUGGUGACAAUAGGUAUGUCUUCGAGAUCAAUUCCUAAAGGACACAAGUUUUGAGACCUAUAUUGUCAAAACAACAUGUCAUAUAGUCACAGUUUCAUCUU